GGAGAUUUAGCUCAGUGGUGCUGAGCCUGCCUUGCAAGCAGAAGGUCCAGAGUUCGAUUCUCGGUCCA
rnacentral:tRNA from 1 species